GCGGCAACAGCUCAAAUUUGAAAUCUGGCCCCCUUGCGGGGUCCGAGUUGUAAUUUGAAGAGGAUGCUUCUGGCAAGGUGCCUUCCGAGUUCCCUGGAACGGGACGCCGCAGAGGGUGAGAGCCCCGUACGGUUGGACGCCGAGCCUCUGUGAAGCUCCUUCGACGAGUCGAGUAGUUUGGGAAUGCUGCUCAAAAUGGGAGGUAAACCCCUUCUAAAGCUAAAUACUGGCCAGAGACCGAUAGCGCACAAGUAGAGUGAUCGAAAGAUGAAAAGCACUUUGAAAAGAGAGUUAAAAAGCACGUGAAAUUGUUGAAAGGGAAGCGCUUGCGACCAGACUCGCGCCCGUCGGAUCAGCCGUCGCUCGCGGCGGUGCACUCCGGCGGGCUCGGGCCAGCAUCAGUUCGUUGGGGGGGAGAAAGGCGGCGGGAAUGUGGCUCCACGGAGUGUUAUAGCCCGUCGUGUAAUACCCCCUGGCGGACUGAGGACCGCGCGUAUGCAAGGAUGCUGGCGUAAUGGUCGUCAGCGACCCGUCUUGAAACACGGACCC
rnacentral:rRNA from 2 species